GACGAACGCUGGCGGCGUGCUUAACACAUGCAAGUCGAACGGAAAGGCCCUGCUUUUGUGGGGUGCUCGAGUGGCGAACGGGUGAGUAACACGUGAGUAACCUGCCCUUGACUUUGUGAUAACUUCAGGAAACUGGGGCUAAUACCGGGUAGGAGCUCCUGCUGCAUGUUAGGGGUUGGAGAGUUUCGGCGGUUGGGGAUGGACUCGCGGCUUAUCAGCUUGUUGGUGGGGUAGUGGCUUACCAAGGCUUUGACGGGUAGCCGGCCUGAGAGGGUGACCGGCCACAUUGGGACUGAGAUACGGCGCAGACUCCUACGGGAGGCAGCAGUGGGGAAUAUUGCACAGUGGGCGGAAGCCUGAUGCAGAAACGCCGCGUGCGGGAUGACGGCCUUCGGGUUGUAAACCGCUUUCGCCUGUGACGAAGCGUGAGUGACGGUAAUGGGUAAAGAAGCACCGGCUAACUACGUG
rnacentral:rRNA from 1 species